rnacentral:rRNA from 1 species
GCAUCGGAACAUACCCAGUCGUGGGGGAUAACGUAGCCCAAAGUUACGCUAAUACCGCAUACGUCCUGAGGGAGAAAGCGGGGGAUCGCAAGACCUCGUGCGAUUGGAGUGGCCGAUGUCAGAUUAGCUAGUUGGUGGGGUAAAGGCCCACCAAGGCGACGAUCUGUAGCGGGUCUGAGAGGAUGAUCCGCCACACUGGGACUGAGACACGGCCCAGACUCCUACGGGAGGCAGCAGUGGGGAAUUUUGGACAAUGGGCGCAAGCCUGAUCCAGCCAUGCCGCGUGCAGGAAGAAGGCCUUCGGGUUGUAAACUGCUUUCGGACGGAAAGAAAUCGCCACUUAUAAUACGGGUGGUGGAUGACGGUACCGUAAGAAGAAGCACCGGCUAACUACGUGCCAGCAGCCGCGGUAAUACGUAGGCUGCGAGCGUUAAUCGGAAUUACUGGGCGUAAAGCGUGCGCAGGCGGCUUUUUAAGCCAGAUGUGAAAUCCCCGGGCUUAACCUGGGAACUGCAUUUGGAACUGGAAAGCUAGAGUGUGUCAGAGGGGGGUGGAAUUCCGCGUGUAGCAGUGAAAUG